rnacentral:rRNA from 1 species
UACGUAGGGUGCGAGCGUUGUCCGGAAUUAUUGGGCGUAAAGAGCUUGUAGGCGGUUUGUCGCGUCUGCCGUGAAAAUUCGAGGCUCAACCUCGAACUUGCGGUGGGUACGGGCAGACUAGAGUGUGGUAGGGGAGAUUGGAAUUCCUGGUGUAGCGGUGGAAUGCGCAGAUAUCAGGAGGAACACCAAUGGCGAAGGCAGCUCGCUGGGACGGUACUGACACUGAGACGCGAAAGCGUGGGGAGCAAACAGG